rnacentral:lncRNA from 1 species
GAGGGGGACCUUCUGACCUCCAAGGUGUUGCGGCUGGAGGACAGUGUGGAGGACCUGAAGAUCAAGCUGACCACGGCCAUGUCUGACAAGGACCGCUUACUGCAGGAGAAGGCAGACCUGCACCAGCAUGCUCAGGAUCUGGAGCUGCAGUUGGAGAGGGCCCAGAGAGGCAGGGAAGGCUACACGGACCAGGUGUGUGAGCUCAGCAACCAGCUGGCUGAGGCCAAGGCUCACACCAACAGGCAGGGGCAGGACACUGUGCAGAUGAAACAGGAACUUCUGACUGUGACAGAGAUGAAUGAAAAGAUGACAUCAGAGCUGGAGAUGGUCAGACAGAGGCUGGAGUCCUCAUUGGCUCAGCUGCAUGAGCUGGGGGCGGAGAGAGUCAUCCACACCAAUCAGAUCGCAGCUCUGGAGACGGAGCGCUCGCAGCUGAUUGGAGAGAAGCAGGAGUUGACGAGUUCUAUUGGACGGGAUGGAAGACAGGAGGAGGAAGUGACAGAGUUGAGGGAGAGUUGUUGUCAGCUCAGUGAAUCCCAGGAUGCCUUGGAGUCAGAGAACCAGAGGCUGCACGAAUGCUGCCUGACCUUGGAGGCGGAGCUCCUGGAAAAGGAGGAGGGGCUGUGUCAGAAGGGGGAGGAGCUGCAGCGGUUGGAGGCUGAGUCGGCUCAGAACAUGGAGGAGCUGAGGGGUGUGGCCUCACACUGGAGCGAGAAGUGGCAGGAUGUGGCUAUGGCAUUACAAUCCACCCAGGCAGAACUAGAGGAACUCAGAGAGAAGAACCCUGGAGAUACACUUCAAGAGGAGGUGGUACGGCUGAAGGUGGAGGUUGAGAGACUUCAGACACAGGGACAGAGAGACAAGGAAGAGAUUCAGACUCUUCAUCAGCACUGGGCCAGUAAAGAGGCGGAGCUGAGCAGAGUCAUUAAAGAUGCCGGUUCUCUGCUGAAGGUAGAGCUGAACGCUUGUAAACAACAGUUGGAGCUGGAGAGGAGCCGGACUCGGGCUCUACACAACAGACUCAAAGUUAAAGACAACCCUCAUAUCUUGGGUAGGGGAAUGGUAGAAACGUUUGAUAAAGGGACAGAGACAGAUAUACUACCACAGACACGGGAUGAACAGGUCUCGCUGGAGGAGCUGGGCCAGGUGAGGGAAGAGCUACUGAUGGUCUCCCUGGAGGAGGUGGAUGGGGGCCAGGUGUCACAGCUAAAUAGUGAACUUCAGAGGCUGGAGCUGGAAGUGGCAGAGAGAGAAGAGCACCUGAGGGAGAAGGAACAUGCUCUGAGGAGUCUGGAGAGACUGAGAGAUGCCGAGAGGACAGAGACGCAAAUCAAGGUUUCUACACUGGAGUUGAAGUUGAUUAACCUAAAGGAGCAGGCCGGUGGAGAAGGCCUAUGUCAUGGAGGCCAAGAACAAGCUCAGCACACUGACUCACUGAGGUCUCAGCUAGAGGAGAGCAGGAGGAGAGCCAAUCAGCUGCAACAGGAGAGAGACCAGGCAGUUCAGAGGCUACAGACUCUCCGCCGGCUAUAUCAGGCUACGGAACAGAAAGCAGCUGCUGGCAGCAAGAAAGAGAAAACGGUUUGUGUGGAUAACAUAGUGAACCAGGAUAAACAGAGAAGACUGGUAACAGAACAGCUGAAGAGUCUAUUUAAGGAGCGUGAGCAGUUGGGUCAGGUCUAUGGAGGAGGAGGAGGAGGAGGAGUUCUGCAAGACUGGGCACCGAAGUCGAAGGUCAUCAAGAACUGCCUUGACACACUACACAGCCAGAGGAAGAGAGAGAAGGAGCUGAUGAGGGAGCAGCAGCAGUUUGCAGGACUGGGGCCUGUGUCUGAGGAGCAAGAAGAGGAGGACGACCCAGAGAGGGAGGUGGAGGAGGAGGUGACUCGCCUUAGGGAGGAACUCCACAGCAAGACCCACGCGAUGUCAGCGAUGAGUGUGGAAAUCAGCAAUCUGAAAGAGAGAAAUGAAAACCUCCAGAAAGCCAAGCUAAGGUUUCAGCCACAGAUCCAAGGGUUGGGCGCCACAGCGUCUAACUCUUCAGAGAAGACCACGUCAGAGAGCGAGGAGCCUCUUCUAUUGGAGAGAGACAUGCAGAGGGGAUCAUCAUCAUCAUCAUCACCACCACCCCGCUGGGAAGAUGGAGUGUUCCUGGCUAGGCAGGUGCAGAUCGGCAGCCCUGAAUUGGAGGGGGAGGAAGAGGAAGAUGGAGGCUGUGGCUGAUGCAUACCUGGUCCUAAUUUGCUCCCUACCCCUUCCCCUUGGCCCUUAACCACUUCAAGGUUGUCAGAUCUGAAGCAUCUAUAUACGUAGAAGCAGUAUUGUUGUAGAGCUUCCACCAUAUUGCUUCCACCAUAUUGCUUCCACUAUCCUACAGAUCUGCAAACAUUGAAGCUAAUGGAUCCAUCUUCGUGUGAAGUCUUACUAUAGUCAUGCAAUGAUACAAAUCCUAAAAAGGUUGUACAAACCAGUGUUAACGUCAAUCUACUGAUUAGUGGUUAUAAAUGUGGUGCUUUUGUUGAUGAUUUAACAAUGAAACAGGAAGUGAAAUGUGUUCCAUUGAUAAUAGUGAGAUGACGACAACAGAGGAUGAUUUUCUGUAAUACGCCUACGCUAUAUAAGCUAAUGAUCCACAUAUAGGGCUGUGUAAUAGUAGUAAGGUGGCUAAUACAUUAAAACUACAAUGUUACCACAUACAACACAAACAUUCUGGAGGUUUGUGAUUUGCCAAUUUUGUUGUAAUUAAAAAAAUGAUUGCGUUAACUCACAUGAUUGUUUGCAAUUGAUUUAGAAUGAGAACGAUCUGUCAUCCAACUCCCUGAAUAAGGACAAAUGUAAGAUCUCAUUAGUCUUGAGUUGAACAACACUUUUUAUUUCAGAUAAUGUACAACUCACAAAGCUACAAAAAUAAUUGUAUGCAAGUGUAAUCCACUCGUAUGAUAUGAGGCCUUAUUCAGUCGGGAGAACAAGUAUUUGAUAACCUGCAAAAUCGGUAGUGUUUCCUACUUACAAAGCACGUGUACCUAUGAUAAAAAUGACAGACCUCUACAUGCUUUGUAAGUAGGAAAACCUGCAAAAUCGGCAGUGUUGUCAAAUACUUGUUCUCCCCACUGUAUAUAUGGGGAUAUAUAUAUAUAUACACACACAGUGGGGCAAAAAAGUAUUUAGUCAGCCACCAAUUGUGCAAGUUCUUCCACUUAAAAAGAUGAGAGAGGCCUGUAAUUUUCAUCAUAGGUACACUUAGACUAUGACAGACAAAAUGAGAGAAAAAAAAUCCAGAAAAUCACAUUUGUAGGAUUUUCAAUUAAUUUAUUUGCAAAUUAUGGUGGAAAAUAAGUAUUUGGUCACCUACAAACAAGCAAGAUUUCUGGCUCUCACAGACCUAUAACUUCUUUAAGAGGCUCCUCUGUCCUCCACUCGUUACCUGUAUUAUUGGCACCUGUUUGAACUUGUUAUCAGUAUAAAAGACACCUGUCCACAACCUCAAACACUUGCACUCCAAACUCCACUAUGGCCAAGACCAAAGAGCUAUCAAAGGACACCAGAAACAAAAUUGUAGACCUGCACCAGGCUGGGAAGACUGAAUCUGCUAUAGGUAAGCAGCUUGGUUUGAAGAAAUCAACUGUGGGAGCAAUCAUUAGGAAAUGGAAGACAUACAAGACCACUGAUAAUCUCCCUCGAUCUGGGGCUCCACGCUAGAUCUCACCACGUGGACUCAAAAUGAUCACAAGAACGGUGAGCAAAAAUCACAGAACCACACGGGGGGACCUAGUGAAUGACCUGCAGAGAGCUGGGACCAAAGUAACAAAGCCUACCAUCAGCAAGGGCAUUGAAGAUGAAACGUGGCUGGGUCUUUCAGCAUGACAAUGAUCCCAAACACACCACAAGGGCAACGAAGGAGUGGCUUUGUAAGAAGCAUUUCAAGGUCCUGGAGUGGCCUAGCCAGUCUCCAGAUCUCAACCCCAUAGAAAAUCUUUGGAGGGAGUUGAAAGUCUGUGUUGCCCAGCAACAGCCCCAAAAUAUCACUGCUCUAGAGGAGAUCUGCAUGGAGGAAUGGGCCAAAAUACCAGCAACAGUGUGUGAAAACCUUGUGAAGACUUACAGAAAACAUUUGACCUCUGUCAUUGCCAACAAAGGGUAUAUAACAAAAUAUUGAGAUAAACUUUUGUUAUUGACCAAAUACUUAUUUUCCACCAUAAUUUGCAAAUAAAUUCAUAAAACAUCCUACAAUGUGAUUUUCUGGAUUUUUUUUCUCAUUUUGUCUGUCAUAGUUGAAGUGUACCUAUGAUGAAAAUUACAGGCCUCUCUCAUCUUUUUAAGUGGGAGAACUUGCACAAUUGGUGGCUGCCUAAAUACUUUUUUGCCCCACUGUGUAUAUAGAUAUUACACACAAACAUCAUUACAUACAGUGCAUACAUCUCCAGUACAUAGCUACAGUUGAAGUCGGAAGUUUAGAUACACCUUAGUCAAAUACAUUUAAACUCUGUUUUUCACAAUUCCUGACAUUUAAUCAGAGUAAAAAUUCUCUGUUUUAGGUCAGUUAGGAUCACCACUUUAUUUUAAGAAUGUGAAAUGUCAAUAAUAGUAGAGAGAAUUAUUUAUUUCAGCUUUUAAUUCUUUUAUCACAUUCCCAGUGGGUCAGAAGUUUACAUGCACUCAAUUAUUAUUUGGUAGCAUUGCCUUUAAAUUGUUUAACUUGGGUCAAACGUUUCAGGUAUCCUUCCACAAGCUUCCCACAAUAGGUUGGGAGAAUCUUGGCCCAUUCCUCCUGACAGAGCUGGUGUAACUGAGUCAGGUUUGUAGGCCUACUUGCUCGCACACGGUUUUUCAGUUCUGCCAACACAUUUUCUAUAGGAUUGAGGCCAGGGCUUUGUGAUGGCCACUCCAAUACCUUGACUUUGUUGUCCUUAGCCAUUUUUUCCACAACUUUGGAAGUAUGCUUGGGGUCAUUGUCCAUUUGGAAGACCCAUUUGCGAUCAAGCUUUAACUUCCUGACUGAUGUCUUGAGAUGUUGCUUCAAUAUAUCCACAUAAUUUUCCUCCCUCAUGAUGCAAUCUAUUUUGUGAAGUGCACCAGUCCCUCCUGCAGCAAAGCACCCCCACAACAUGAUGCUGCCACCCCUGUGCUUCACGGUUGCGAUGGUGUUCUUCGGCUUGCAAGCCUCCCCUUUCCCUCCAAACAUGACAGUGGUCAUUAUGGCCAAACAGUUCUAUUUUUGUUUCAUCAGACCAGAGGACAUUUCUCCAAAAAGUACAAUCUUUGUCCCCAUGUGCAGUUGCAUAGCGUAGUCUGACUUUUUUAAUGGCGGUUUUGGAGCAGUGGCUUCUUCCUUGCUCAGCUGCCUUUCAGGUUAUGUCGAUAUAGGACUUGUUUUACUGUGGAUAUAGAUACUUUUGUACCUGUUCCCUCCAGCAUCUUCACAAGGUCCUUUGCGGUUGUUCUGGGAUUGAUCUUCACUUUUCGCACCAAAGUACGUUCAUCUCUAGGAGACAGAACGCGUCUCCUUCCUGAGCAAUAUGAUGGCUGUGUGGUCCCAUGGUGUUUAUUCUUGCGUACUAUUGUUUGUACAGAUGAACGUGGUACCUUCAGGUGUUGGGAAAUUGCUUCUGAGGAUGAACCAGACUUGUGGAGGUCUACCAUUUUUUCUGAGGUCUUGGCUGAUUUCUUUUUAUUUUCCCAUGAUGUCAAGCAAAGAGGCACUGAGCUUGAAAGUAGGCCUUGAAAUACAUCCACAGGUACACCUCCAAUUGUCUCAAAUGAUGUCAAUUAGCCUAUCAGAAGCUGUAACGACUGUUUGAAGAAGUGGACCGGAGGGAGACACCGGACAGGAUAGAAACUCCGGCAGUUCCGGACAGGAGGGAGAC